AAAACUUUCAACAACGGAUCUCUUGGGUUCCGGCAUCGAUGAAGAAACGCAGCGAAAUGCGAUACGUAAUGGUGAAUUGCAGAAUUCAGUGAAUCAUCGAGUCUUUGAACGCACAUUGCGCCCUCUGGUAUUCCGGANGGCAUGCCUGUCCGAGCGUCAUUG
rnacentral:rRNA from 1 species